rnacentral:rRNA from 1 species
AGUGAACGCUGGCGGUAGGCCUAACACAUGCAAGUCGAACGAGUGGCGGACGGGUGAGGAAUACAUCGGAAUCUACUCUGUCGUGGGGGAUAACGUAGGGAAAAUUACGCUAAUACCGCAAACGCUUGAAGGAGCCGAUGUCGGAUUUGCUAGUUGGCGGGGUAAAGGCACACAAAGGAGACGAUCCGUAGCUGGUGCGAGAGGAUGAUCAGCCACACUGGAACGGAGACCCGGUCCGUACUCUUACGGGAGUAAGCAGUGGGGAAUAUUGGACAAUGGGCGCAAGCCUGAGCCAGCCAUACCGCGUGGGGGAAGAAGGCGUUCGGGUUGUAAAGCCCUUUUGUUGGGAAAGCGGUACCCAAAGAAUAAGCACCGGCUAACUUCGUGCCAGCAGCCGCGGUAAUAC